UAUCUCUGUAGAGUCUGCAUAUCAAUAAGCGGAGGAAAAGAAACUAACUAGGAUUCCCUCAGUAACGGCGAGUGAAGCGGGAAGAGCUCAAAUUUGAAAUCUUCAAGGUUCUACCUUGACGAAUUGUAGUUUAAAGAAGUGUUUUCUGUUGAAGUUUUCGGUAAAAGUUCUUUGGAAUAGGACAUCAUAGAGGGUGAGAAUCCCGUAUUUGACCGUUACUUUCAGCUGUGUGAUACACUUUCAAAGAGUCGGAUUGUUUGGGAAUGCAGUCCAAGAAUGGGUGGUAAAUUUCAUCUAAAGCUAAAUAUUGGCGAGAGACCGAUAGCGAACAAGUACCGUGAGGGAAAGAUGAAAGGAACUUUGAAAAGAGAGUUAAACAGUACGUGAAAUUGUCAAAAGGGAAGCGUUUGACACCAGUGUUGUUUUCUCGAAAAUCAAUUAAAAAAGGCAGGAUUUUGUGUUGUAUUGACUUUAUCAGCUUUCUGCACUCUUUUCUUGUCUUUUUUAAUGCACUUUUCGUUUAACAAGUCAACAUCAAUUUCUUUUGUUGUAAAAGGGUCAUUGGAAGGUGGCUUUCUUUUCGGAGAAAGUGUUUAUAGCCUUUGGCCUCUGCAAUCGGAGAGAGUUGAGGUCUGCAGCGUAGAUCCUUCGGGGUUAGAUACAUUUGUGCUAAGUUAUAGCCUUUCAUAGACAACUUGUUGACUAUGAUCAGUCAUGUAGCUUACUCGCUUAUGCUAUUUUACCUACGCUUAGGAUGUUGAAGUCAUCGUAUCGCG
rnacentral:rRNA from 1 species